AGGGGCGUAGGCUAACGGCAAACCGCUGGUCUCCAAAACCGGAUUUCGGGGUUCGAAUCCCCGCGCCCCUGCCA
rnacentral:tRNA from 1 species